GCUGCCGGUCGGAGGUGCGAUUAGCGGUGAUUAGCGGUACAUGGAAAGAGAGGGAGAUGACAGCAAGCAGAGUUCCAGUUAGUUUUCUAUUGGAAAGGGUAUUUACAGGGUAUUCACUUUUUAUCGCUUUUCACAGCUCAACAACAAUUCAAAAGCGCGCUACAUGCUGAUAAAUAAUAGUAAAACAAUAAAAUAAUUAAUUAAUUUUAAUCAAAGUAUACUUUUAGCAUUAGUAUUAGUAAAUGUUUCAACUAAAAAGAAAAGAAAAUCUAAGCAAUUAC